UGGCUCUCUGUUUUGCAGAGCUACCAAAAGCAGUUUUAUCGGACUGAAAGGCACCUGGAAGUACAGGACGUCCUUGAAGAAUUCAUCCAGAAGGACGCUGUGGCUAAGAUAAUCAGGCUACCAGGACCCGUGAUGCUGCUAUUAAAGAGGACUGACUUCAAGGACUUUGGGAAAGAAAAUAGAAAUUUCCACCCUCGUUGUUCACGUUCGUUCUUUACAGAGGUUCCUACAGCUACAGGACUAAGAGAUCCUGGAAACGUAUAAUUGAUCCGAAGCUUUGGCCGAGGUUCGUGCAGUGAAGUGUGUUCUGCGCGUGUGUCCCCCGUGCGAGCAAGUGCCAGGCAAGAGCCUGUUCCAGCAGCUGGGCACAUCCCUGCCACCCGCAGGAAUAACUGUUCACCGGGAAAACACCCACUAAUUAUGGCACGUUUACAGAUACUUUUAUUAUUUCAAGGGUCAUGCUUCAGCUAUAUGGUGCUGUACUUAUCCGGAAUUCUGCGCUUAGGCCUCAAAAAUGUGCAGUUAAUGCGUGUUUGGCGUUUUUUUUCCCAAUUUUAAGUGUCCCUACUGAACAUUACUUCUUCUGAUUUGCUAUCAUCCUCGGGCUCCUUCCUCUGAAACGCAGUUGUCUUCUGAAAUGACAAGCCGUGCUGCUAACUGCCAGCCAACUGCGGCAC